rnacentral:rRNA from 1 species
CGGGUGAGUAAUGUAUGGGGAUCUGCCUGAUGGCGGGGGAUAACUACUGGAAACGGUAGCUAAUACCGCAUAAUGUCUACGGACCAAAGCGGGGGACCUCCGGGCCUCGCGCCAUCAGAUGAACCCAUAUGGGAUUAGCUAGUAGGUGGGGUAAUGGCUCACCUAGGCGACGAUCCCUAGCUGGUCUGAGAGGAUGACCAGCCACACUGGAACUGAGACACGGUCCAG